GUCUACAGCCAUACCACCCUGAACACACCCAAUCUCAUCUGAUCUUGUGAGCUAAGCAGGGUCGGGCCUUGUUACUACUUCGAUGGAAGACCACCUGGGAAUAUCGGGUGCUGUAGGCU
rnacentral:rRNA from 1 species